UCCCCUGGCAUCAACAGCACAAUUCUAAACCCAAAAACAUAAAAAAAUGGCAGCAAGUGUAGCAACAAUGGCGAUGCUCAAUGCAAAAUGCCUAAGCAUCAGCUCAACUAAGAUGAGCAGCCCAACAAAGCCAACCCCAAAGCCCUUCUCCCUUCUCUCCAUGCAGAACCUCCCCAAAGGCCUCACCAUCUCAAAACCAGCCAACAACUCAAACCUACCUUCUUCACUCGCUGGCAGCGCCAUUGCUGGAGCUAUCUUCUCAACCUUAAGUUCAUGUGACCCCGCCUUAGCUGCACAAC
rnacentral:lncRNA from 1 species